CCCACUACUUCAUCACUUCAUUCAUAUUGUUCACUUGAGUCCGGUUCCCUUUCCUCUCACCAUACCUUUCUGUGUCCGGUUCAUUGUUCUUAGGUUUUGUGUGUUUUUUUUUCGUUUUUUUUGCUUUGGUUUUGUUCUAAGCCUGUUUUUCAUCUUCUUCUUCAGGUUUCUUUGCCAUCAAGCAUAAAGGUUUCUUGGUUGUCAAGCAUAAGGGUUUGUGAUUCUUGGAGUUGAUGUUGUUUAUGGCAAUUACUUCUUGAUAUUUUGUUUUGUUUUUGUGUGAUUUUGCUCUCUUUGUGUUGUUUUGUUUUUUUAAUGAGUGUUGGGUAAUGUUUUUUAAAAUUGACUUAUAUGUUUUUGGGUUCUUUUUAAUUUUAUUUUGGUUGCAUGUUUGAGACAAUUGCAAAAUGUUGAGACAAAUGCAAUAAGCUGUGAUUAAGUUGCAAAUAAACAGAUUAUAAGCCAUUUGAAUCAGUGUUUGUGAUCAAUUGAUGUUAAAGAUGGCCAUGGAUAUCAUUUGCUUGAUCACCAAGUAAUUUUAAGAACCUGGUUGCUGUUUGUGUUAUAUUUGUUUGCUAUUGAAUCAUGAUUUUGUUAUUUCUUUUUGAAACCAGUGAGAUUUUUGCUAACUUCUUUGGAACACUGAACUGAUUCCAUGAGGUGUAGGACUCAUAAAUAUGGCUGCGUGCGAAAUUUGAGUGACAAUGACCUUUGGUUCUGACAUCAUUGCAUCAAUCCAUAAAAUAAGUUUGCAUACAUUGAUUUGAUUCCUGCUUAAAAAUUUGCAUUUCAAGAUGAUAGUUUUUUAUUUUAAAUUCUGUAUGAUAAGGAUUCUAAAUGUUGUGUCGAAGGUGUGAAAAACUGAUAUAGACUUCUGAUACAAAAUUUGGAAUGGAAUGAUGGAUGUUUUCAAUGUAGCUAAUCUCCAAUGUAAAAGCUUGAUUUAGAAAAUUAAAGGUUGGGUCUGAACCAACGCUGGAACUGUAAUUUUUGGAAUAUUUAACUGAUUCCAUCAGGUGUAGGGAUAGACAAAUUGCUGGUAUAAACCUACUAAAUUUUUGCUUAAAUUUUUUUGGAAUGGACUUCUUGGAAUAGACUUCUGAUACAAAUUUUUGCUUAAAAAUUUGCUGCUAUAGUCUUGGUUUACUUUCUUGGAUAUAUUGAACUGAUUGUUAUCUGAAAAUUUACUGAAAAUCUUAAGUUCUUGUGAUUUGGUUGGUGACUUUGAGAGAUAGUGUUUGUCUGAGAAUAAAGUUAUAAUGAUGGUGUUUGAUACAAUAUUUGGGUGAAGGAUAGUCUCUAUUUUGUUUCAAUUUCCAAACAAGUUUAUCCAUUUGUAGUCUAUAAAAUAAGGAUCUUUCAUUUGUAGUAUAUUGUUAGCUCAGUCCGAAAUGUUCUGAUUUUGUCAUGCCAAGUACCAUUUUGUGCCAUCUCUUGGAAAAUUUAUGCAUACUGUAAUGUAAUCCAAGUGUAAGUACAAACUGAAAGGUUCUCUUUGCAGAAAAUAAGAGAAAACCAGAGCUCACCAAAAUCAUUGUCGCCUCUUCUGGUUUUAUGAAAGCCAAUGAAGUUGCUCAGAAAGCUUUUUAUGGCAUAAGACGUGGCAGUUUUAUCAUUUCUUGCAAUUUGGAGGGUAUUACGUUAUCCCUAGCAACUUCAGGUUUAUCCCCUCAGAGGUCAUUCUUAAUGGCAUUUGUUGAGGUUAUUGCUGCUGGAAUAAUGUGUAUUGCAGCACUAUGUCUCCAGUGGAACUGGUAUGGAAGUAUAGAGAAGUGGCACAAGCAAAGGAAGUGUCAGUUAAUGGUGCUCUUGUUUAACUGAAAUUGCCAGAUUGUGACUACCAAUGGAUACUGAAGCGCGGAAAAUUCUGCACGAUGUGCUUGAUGAAAUUGGUGUGGAUGUUGCCUCAGUUAUCAGCAGCUCCCAAAGGGGGAAUCGCAACAAAGAAUACUGAAAAUGUCGGCAGGAGAUGUUUUUUAUGUAAACUGGAACGAAGCACUUCCUGGAGCUACUGCAGUAGUCUCAACCCUCAGAAGUUUUGGUAGCGAGGAACAAAUGAGUAAGAUUAACAGCGAGGCUAAUGUUGGCUGCAAAUGCUGCAAACGAAUAUGGUUCCAUCCUUUCAAACCUUCUUCUUGUGCUUGAAACCUCUCUACUUUGUGGUGACAUUGCAAACCUUGGAGUGGAGCAAAAAUAUGACAGAGGCGGUUCAAAUAUCUUUGCCUAUUCUAUGUAACAACUAAAUGCUGCAACAGUUUAUGAGAUUUUGAAACUAAGGGACUUAUUUAUCUUUCAAAAUUUCAGUGAGCUCAGAAGCAACAAAAUUGAUACACGUAAUCAAUUACUCACCACUACAAUGAAUCUCUCUCUGCUUAUGCUAAAAAUGAUUUGGAUCUGGCUGGGAGCUGCACUCCUGCAAAUGUGUUAACAAUGUAUAAUUUGUAUAAUAUUUCGAUGACUGUGUGUUGAAAUUAUGGUUUGGAUAUAGUAAUCCAACCCUUUUUUUGAUAAUCAAACUUAAAUAGGUUUUUGACUAUAUCGCAGCAUCUAUAUUUUGGCUGCAGUACACUAUCUAUACAGUAACAAUGGUUGCUACGUUAGUUACUAUGUAAUACACGUUCCAUGAUUUUCAGUUUAGACAACCUUCAUUUUCAUAUUUGAGAA